rnacentral:rRNA from 1 species
ACGAGUACAGACUCGUGGCGAAUAGCUCAGUAACACGUGGCCAAACUACCCUUCGGAACACAAUACCCUCCGGAAACUGAGGCUAAUAGUGUAUACCAUACCACCACUGGAAUGAGUGGUAUGCCAAACGCUCCGGCGCCGAAGGAUGUGGCUGCGGCCGAUUAGGUAGACGGUGGGGUAACGGCCCACCGUGCCAAUAAUCGGUACGGGUCAUGAGAGUGAGAACCCGGAGACGGAAUCUGAGACAAGAUUCCGGGCCCUACGGGGCGCAGCAGGCGCGAAACCUUUACACUGCACGACAGUGCGAUAGGGGGAUCCCAAGUGCACAGGCAUAGCGCCUGUGCUUUUCGGUACCGUAAGGUGGUACCAGAAUAAGGGCUGGGCAAGACCGGUGCCAGCCGCCGCGGUAAUACCGGCAGCCCAAGUGAUGGCCGAUCUUAUUGGGCCUAAAGCGUCCGUAGCUGGCCGCGCAAGUCCAUCGGGAAAUCCACCUGCUCAACAGGUGGGCGCCCGGUAGAAACUGCGUGGCUUGGGACCGGAAGGCGCGACGGGUACGUCCGGGGUAGGAGUGAAAUCCCGUAAUCCUGGACGGACCGCCGAUGGCGAAAGCACGUCGCGAGAACGGAUCCGACAGUGAGGGACGAAAGCCAGGGUCUCGAACCGGAUUAGAUACCCGGGUAGUCCUGGCCGUUAACAAUG